rnacentral:lncRNA from 1 species
CUCGAUGGUCCUGAGCCUGCUGUCCAGGACGUAGUUUUCGAGGUCCUCCAGGAGAUCAGCACCCUGUUCCCUGACCUCCUGGUGCUGGAGGUGGAGGCUGUGAUCCACCGGCACAGCUCUCUCGCCCAGUUUGUUGGGAUCUGAGACCAUAACUGAAUGGCAUCUUCUCCUGCGGGCUCAGGAGGGCUGCCUCUGUCCUGCUCAUGUGCCACCCAGGAAGUUCUUGACUAUUGGGGAAAAGAGCCAAAGUAAAUGAAAAGGUCCCAGGAUCGGUUUCCAGUGCCACCUAAAGAGAAGACAAGCAGACACAGAAGAACACACAGUGAGUGGACACAGAGAGCAGACACCAGGGGGCUGGGGGGAAGAACAAAUAAAUGAAAAAACAAA